rnacentral:tRNA from 1 species
AUUAUGUUAAUUAAUUUUAUUAGUUAAUAAACUUAUUUAAUUUGUAACUUUUAAUAAUCAAUGAGCUUGAUUAUAAGCGUAU